rnacentral:rRNA from 1 species
UACGUAGGGUGCGAGCGUUAAUCGGAAUUACUGGGCGUAAAGCGUGCGCAGGCGGUUUUGUAAGCCGGAUGUGAAAUCCCCGGGCUUAACCUGGGAAUGGCAUUUGGGACUGCAAGGCUUGAGUGCGGCAGAGGAGACUGGAAUUCCUGGUGUAGCAGUGAAAUGCGUAGAUAUCAGGAGGAAUACCGAUGGCGAAGGCAGGUCUCUGGGCUGACACUGACGCUCAGGCGCGAAAGCUAGGGGAGCAAACAGG